AAACGAUAUUUGAAGGUAGUAAAACGCUGAGGAAUGCUGACCAUGCUUGACAAUUGGAUACAAGCAGUGGUAGUUUUACUGAUCGUGAUAGUGUAUCUUUGUUUAAAAGAUACAUUAAUCAUUCGUCACUUCCGCGAUUGUCUCAGAUGGUUGGAGAGUGUGGAGACAUUAGUUAAAAAUACUGGUUAUUUGAUAAAGGGUAUUUUUAGUUUAACAGGUAACUAGAGAGAAGAUAUUGCAGGAAUGCAAAGAGUAAUGACUCCGAAAAUGACGAUAAACUUUUAUAUACAUAUUGUAACGGAUUUCGUCCUCAUUGUUCAGCAGUAUGUGUCCCCUCCCCCCUUUUUAUUUUUUAUCAACAGUUAAAUCUCCGUGUAACCGCAUUGAAAACCUUAUAAAUUGUUGAAUAUGUUUCUUUUCAUUUAAAUAAGUUAUCUCAGAUAUUUAGAACUUACUAUUAUUGUUUUAUAAACAGUAACUUGAGCAAAGAUAAAAAUAACGUCAAGUCCCAUCUGAAACUGAGUCACUUUUCCAUUUAUUUUUUUGUAAAGUGUAAAUACGGGAUUUCCUUAUUCUUGACCUACCUUUAUGUAUUUGUUGAUGAUUGUAUUAUGUUGUUUUAAUCUCUAUGUAUAUUUAUAUUCAGUGAAUUAGUUAACCUGGUCAAGUUUCUAGAGACUCAGAGUCUCUCUUUUUCCUUGUAAUAUCCGCCAUGUUUACUUGAGUCGCUUACCGUAAACUGUCAAAGUGCACUGUCGUGAACGGCGAUAUUACGUUGAAAUAGAGUCUUUUGAGUCGCUUUUGACGUCAAAAUGAAGUCUUUCGAGUCUUUUUCAUUGUAUAUAUAUUGGACUGCUAUUGAAAGCGUUAGUCGUGAUCGGACUACCGUGGCAAAAGGUUGCUUACAAUCACAAGCCUAAAUAUUAAAAUCCUUUCGUCACUGUAGCUAACAAUUUAAGCUUGCACUUUAAAAGGUUAGGAAAAAUUUUCUCAGAGUUUUACUUUAUGUAAAACAUAGAUUUAUAAGUUUCAUAUUAUAAGAGACUCUAAAGAUUAGACUACAAAUUAUAUACUGAAAAGUACACAAAAAGUCGGAAAGAUAAAGAUAUUUCAUAUUUUAUACAGAGACUCAACGACGCAGACUCGAGUCUUAAAGUCGCUAUUCAAAUAAGACAUCAAUAUAGUUUUUCUUCAAAGAAAGUUACAGUUAAAGUGAUUCUUAUAUUAUUUACUUGAAAUACCAAUAGUAUAGAAAUUAUUAUUAUUAACAUGUUUCCAACGAUUCUUUACAUAUUACGAAGUCGAAUCUUCACAAAAGUACAGUAAAAUCAGGAGUCGCAACUUAUACAUUUGAAAAGUCGACAUAGCUUAUAUAAUUAUAGAGAUUUCUAUAAUUACUUGUGAUUAAGAUAGUUUAUUUAAAUACAUGUGUAUAUAGUACUUGACCAGAGUUACUCACUAGCUUGCAUACUAUUUAAAAUGUUAUUUAUUGUAUGUUGAUCUCAUGUAAAAAGAUAUAGUUUGACUUAAUAUUGAAAUUGUCUGGAUCACAUAUCUAUAAUAGAUCAUAAUACUUCAUUAAAUCAUUAACUUUA